CGGAAUCACAGUCUCCUAAAAUUCAGUGAGAGAGGCUGACCCUGCUUUGGACAGCACCACCAAGCCUCGGAGGGAGGAGGGGCAGCCUAGUCUACUGCCAGGCUGCCCAGGCGGGAAAUAUGCCAUGACUGCUGUGCUGGAAGAAGCCCAGAUUAUGACGUAACCCUCCCCAAACAGACCAGAGAGCUGUGUGUCACCUCCACCUACCGACAUGGCCUGCAGAGAGCUGUGUGUAACCCCCACCUACUGACAUGACCUGCAGGCUCCUGUUUCUCAUAGCGAAGCUGUCCGUUGGGCCAAGCGCUGAAGAUCUCCAGAGAGGACUUCCCUCUUCCCUGCCUGCCACUGUGGGAGAGGACAUGCGGAAGCCAGCAGCUGGGCGCUCGCUCAUAGCAGACAUGGGUGGCAUCAACAGUGUAGUGGCCUGUGGGCUCCUGUGCUAGGAGGAACUCAGACUAUAAAAGCAAAACUAAACCACAUUUCAGAGUGUGGCAGCGUGUGUGUGUGUGUCCUUUAGCAAAAUUCCUGAAGUCACGUUACAUCGCCUUCCUUCUCUGUUCUACUCCCAAAGGAAAAGUCUGUGUCUCAGCAUGCUACCUCUGGUCUGGAAAACUCAGCAGCUCCCCAGGAUAGGGCCCGGCAGGACCUGGCAGCGUCUGGGUAAUAGGAUGCAAAUGAAACCUUCCAGACACAGCUGGGAGCUGGAGGGGGUGGGGCAGUAUCUGAUGGAAGACGGGAAUCCUGGUGAAGACAGCCCAGGCCUCCAUCAGACCUGCUCUAGUCUUGCUUGCUUGCUCUCCCCGCUAAGCCCUCGGAGCUGGGGAGAGGCCUCUAGGUGGAGCCAAGCACCCUGGCCACAUGGCUGGACAGGGGUUGGGAUCCUUGGGAUCCCAGGGCAGGGCGGGACACUGGGGAUUUCAGCUGGGAAAAGAGGAGUACAGUAGAUGCCGGAGAUAAGGAAGAAAUGUCCUAGCCGACCUCCCAAGUUCAAAGGGCAGCUGGGUGUGGUCCCAGCCAUUGAAUGAGGUGGAUGGGUCUGUCCACACCUGCCAGGCUCACUGAGCAGGGGUUACCUUGAUUUUAUAAGACAUCACACACCAUGAGCUAAAAGAUCAGGGUCUAAACUCCUUCUUUAUUGAUACCAAGGACAGUCAAACCCUAGCUCCAGCCAGGCUCCUCGAGACUUCCCUUCCUUCCUCAUCAGGGAUGCCUGGUUGCUUCAGUCCAAUCUGAAGCAUCAGCAUCGACAUCAGGCUUUGGUCCAGGAGGCAGCCAGGGAGACCAGGGCCCAUCCAGGGAAAGCCUGGGAAGUAACCUGUGGAGGGAGACAGGUGGUCAGGGGAUUAGGAGUGACCAUUAGAGUGCACACACUCAUAUGGCUAGGGAACAGGAAGGGUGCUUUAGGAUCCCAGCCGAGGGUGGAAUGCUCACCAAUCCUGUAGGGCCUGAGUGUUCCACCAUAGCAAGCAGAGCUGGUCCUCUGAAGGCUUGGGCCGGGCCAGGCUGCUCUCUGGGAUACUUUCUGUGUCCUGUUCACUGCCCCCCACCCCAGUGCAAAUUAGAAUUAGUGGUAGUAUUGGGAAGUGGCAGGUUGCUGAUAGGGGACCAUGCCAGGCCUGUCCCAUACCAGCAAGUCUGGAGAGUUCUACCUAGACGGCUCACCUGCGCUUCCCCACCAGACCCUGCAGCAGGCGCUGCAGCCUGGCGCUGUCCUGCAGGCGGCUGAGCUCGCUGGUGAACGUCCCGUCUGAGUGUCUCGGGAUCCUGAGUAGGGGCGGGGCGAGGAGGGUCAGAGUACGACCAUGUGGACCUGUGGGCGUGGCCGUGGUGAAGUGGAGUCCCCCAACCCAGCUCACCUGGGGGGCGCUGGGAGCGCGGCGGAGCCCACGAGCAGCAACAGCAGCAGUAGUAGCGGCGGUGUGGGCAGUGGAGGCGCCAUGGUCGGGCUCUGUAGGUGCAACUGCAGCCUGAGCCCCGCGCCCCCUGCUUUAUAGCUACCCCUGAGGCAGGGGGGGGCUCCGGCACCGCCCCGGCUCCGCGCGGCCGGCCGCGCCCCAUCGAUUGCGUGAAGGUCAGGGCCGCCCCCCCAGCUGUCGUCCGGCCACCUCCCGUCCCCACCGCCGCGUUGGCGCCCCUCAGCUGGCUGGGCGUGGGGAGUAGAGGGGGUAAUGCUACCAGGUAGCGAAAUGGACACCACCAUCUGGGACCAGGGGCAGGGAGCAGGGUACGGAGGUUCAGGACAGGCUGAGUGAACCGCACUGCCAGGCCUCUCGAGCCUCAGUUCAUAUUGGGGCCUAACCUAGGCCUAGACCCUGGAGCACUCUUCCCCGGAAGGGGCUGUAGGUGUCUUAAGAAGCCUAGGAGAGGCCAGAGUCCUAGCACCCUGGAGGAGCCAGGGGAGACAGAUGCAGUGAAUCGCCUGUAAGGUCAGCCCAGCAUCCGAAGCAAAAAUGGGAAUCCUCUUAGACCCCCGAAGUUGCAUUUUUGGGUGGGAGAAAACGGCCUAUUCAUGUUGGAAGCAGAAAGCAGAGAUGGGUUAGAAAAAGAGAAAAGCAGGCCAUGGAGACUAUAGGGGAGUGGGGAAGGAGGAGUUAUGAAUGGGGAUUGAUGACAAAUAGUCUUGCAAAACAUCUUCAUCCCUGGAGUCCGGAACUUUAGUGGUAGAACACUUAUCUAGCAUGCAUCAGGACCUGAGUUCCACCCAGCACUGAAACCCAAACCAGAGAGACAAUCCUUAAAAUCAAAUUACAAACCUAACAAACAGUUAUGAACUAGCUCUUGAGUAAAAUCAUGUGUUUUUUUCUUA